AUCUUUUCUCAGGAAUCUCUUCCCCUUCAAAUUUCAUCUUGAAUCUCAUGCCAACUGAAUACCGAUGCUUAACAGCCUCGAGAUAUUUGUUUAGACCUAUGAUAAACUGACUUGUUCUCGGUUUGUAAUAAACGACAAACAUAGUCUGGGUCGUCACAGCAUGAGAUGCAGUAGCUAACACUCCUAGGUGCAUGCUCUGACUUGAAAUCACUGAUUGUGGCAUUGAGCUCGGUUGGCGAGCAAGUCGUCUAAUUCCUAUUCGGACUUCACCUUUUCCACUCCUCAAGAAUACAAAAGAAUCCCCCGUAACUAAUCUCUUCGAGGAAACAAAGGUACUCCACCCUGUGGUAAGUAAAUGCCUCCUGGGUUGGCCUCUAAAUAUAUGUUUAAAAUGCCACUCGAAGCCAUGAAGGUCCUUGGCGACCAAUUCCUGUGCUGGAGUCGCUUGGGUCAUGUCCAGGGGAGGCAGGCAUUCGUUAGCAUGUUUUCUGAGAAUGGAAAAUCCACCGUGAGUGCUCGUAUCAGACGCAGUUAGAACCUUGCAGAAGAAA
rnacentral:misc_RNA from 1 species